AGUAAAGUGCCUGAAAUAAAGGAUUAUUGUGAUAGAAUAAAUAAUGUAAUACAAUUACCUUUACUA
rnacentral:tRNA from 2 species